rnacentral:rRNA from 1 species
AAACUUCACGUGAACCGUUAAAUAUGUUCUGUGCUCUCUCGGGAGGGCUGAACGAAGGUGGRCUGCGAUGCUYUAUUGCGUKCGGACUGCCGAUGCUUUUUCAAACCCAUUACCUAAUACUGAUCUAUACUCCUAAAACGAAAGUUUUUGGUUUUAAUCCAUAACAACUUUCAGCAGUGGAUGUCUAGGCUCGCACAUCGAUGAAGAACGCUGCGAACUGCGAUACGUAAUGCGAAUUGCAGAAUUCAGUGAGUCAUCGAAAUUUUGAACGCACAUUGCACUUUCGGGUUAUGCCUGGAAGUAUGCUUGUAUCAGUGUCCGUACAUCAAACUUGCCUUUCUUGUUUUGUGUAGUCAAGACGAGAGACGGCAGAAUGUGAGGUGUCUCGCUGGCUCCCUCCUCGGAGGAGAAGACGCGAGUCCCUUUAAAWGUACGUUCGCUCUUUCUUGUGCCUGGGAUUGAAGUGUGACUUUCGAACGCGGUGAUCUGUUUGGAUCGCUUUGCGCGAGUGGGCGACUUCGGUUAGGACAUUAAAGGAAGUGACCUCUAUUGGCGGUAUGUUAGGCUUCGGCCCGACKUUGCAGCUGACGGGGUGUUGUUUUCUGUUCUUUCCUUGAGGUGUACCUGUCUUGUGUGAGGCAAUGGUCUG